GUUUGUUUCUGUAUUUCCUUUCGUCAUAUAAUAGUGGUGUUCACGGAACUGUAACUGUCAGUUAUUACAGUGCUUGUGACUAGGCCUAUAUAUACCCAGGCCGAGAAAGUACAGUGGUUUUGAGGCAUAAAUGGUGCUAUUGUUUCCAAAAUUCUUCAUGGCUGGUGCUUAGUUCCCUCGGUGACGUACAAAGCGGGUGUUCAUGGAACUUUCAGUCGCUGCCUAUUACGGUGCUUUUAAAUGAAACAAGAAAUUGUGUAGAAUUCCCCUAAUUUUACAAGAUAAGGUGACCUCCAGCCACGAACUCUGGGAGUGUGGGAAACCUCCAGAUGUUCAAGCAGAUGGGAUGAAAAUUCAAGGUCCGUGGACUGAUUUUGGAUUGCAUUGCCAAACCCACAUGGUAGAUAUGGCAUGCAGUAAUGAAGACAGGAAGGAAAAUUUUCAUCAGCAUCCCAAACGUCAAAACACAAACUUCAUCUGAGUGAACAUGGA